AGUUGGUUAAAACUAAAGAAAAGAUCAUACAGUUCUUGAAGACCGAGGUUCAGAGUUUAAACCAGCCUGAAGACUCAGAGGAAAGCUCAACUGUGCAGAAGAAACAAACCAAACAUCUUAAACCAAUGGUAAGGUGUUUUUCAGUUCAAGUGGUCUAUAAUCGAUCAGAUCUUCUUCAUG